rnacentral:rRNA from 1 species
AGCCCACCAGCUAGCUCACCCGCCUAAAAUCAAUAGCCAACUAUUUAUAACCCCAAACAAACUAGAGAUACUCUUAAACAAACCAUUUUUCCCCCUUAGUAUGGGCGACAGAAAAGGACCAUCCGUAAGCAACAGCAACAGUACCGCAAGGGAACGCUGAAAGAGAAAUGAAAUAAAUCAGUCAAGCGCAAAGAAGCAGAGCUCAGCCCUCGUACCUUUUGCAUCAUGAUUUAGCAAGAAAACAUCAGGCAAAAAGCAUUAUAGUUUGAUUCCCCGAAACCAAGUGAGCUACUCCAAGGCAGCCUUUAGGGCGCACCCGUCUCUGUGGCAAAAGAGUGGGAUGACCUUCGAGUAGAGGUGACAGACCUACCGAACUUGGUUAUAGCUGGUUGUUCAAGAAUUGAAUAGGAGUUCAGCCUUUUGUCACCUUCCCUCAAACACCGACCACUCCCGAAGAGUUGAAGAUCAACAAAAGAGUUAGUCAAAGGGGGUACAGCCCCUUUGAAAUAGAUACAACUUUACUAGAAGGGUUAAGAUCAUACUAUUUACUCAAGGAGCAUGUUCUAGUUGGCCUAAAAGCAGCCACCCAUACAGAAAGCGUUAAAGCUCAGACACCCCUCCCUCCCAUUAUUCGGACCACCCAAAUCUUACCCCCCUUCACCUACUGGACCUUCCCAUACCCCUAUGGGAGAGACUAUGCUAAUAUGAGUAAUAAGAGACCCCAGCGUCUCUCCCUGCACAAGUAUACAUCGGAACGAACCCGCACCGAAAAUUAACGGCCCCCCUCCCAGAGGGAAAUGGAAUAUUAUGAUUAAGCCACGAGGAAUACACCCACCCCGCCCGACCGUUGACCUUACACCAGUGUGCACACAAGGAAAGACUAAAAGAAAGAGAAGGAACUCGGCA